rnacentral:rRNA from 1 species
UACGAAGGGGGCUAGCGUUGCUCGGAAUCACUGGGCGUAAAGGGUGCGUAGGCGGGUCUUUAAGUCAGGGGUGAAAUCCUGGAGCUCAACUCCAGAACUGCCUUUGAUACUGAAGAUCUUGAGUUCGGAGAGGUGAGUGGAACUGCGAGUGUAGAGGUGAAAUUCGUAGAUAUUCGGAAGAACACCAGUGGCGAAGGCGGCUCACUGGACUGGUAUUGACGCUGAGGUGCGAAAGCGUGGGAGCAACAGG